AGGUGCCAUACGGCACAAUAGAGAAUCCGGUGCGGGGAUAUGUCCCCUAGGCCGGAGCGGUCCCGCCACUGUAUGGGGAGCGACGCUGCAUAGAUGUCACUGGGCGAUAUGCCUGGGAAGGCGCAGCGAAGCGAUGAACCGAGCCAGGAGAACUGCCUGCUUGA
rnacentral:ncRNA from 1 species